rnacentral:rRNA from 1 species
GAGCUACACAUGCAGUCGAGCGGAUUAGGGAAGCUUGCUUCCCGAUUUAGCGGCGGACGGGUGAGUAAUGCCUAGGAAUCUGCCUAUUAGUGGGGGAUAACGUUCCGAAAGGAACGCUAAUACCGCAUACGUCCUACGGGAGAAAGUGGGGGAUCUUCGGACCUCACGCUAAUAGAUGAGCCUAGGUCGGAUUAGCUAGUUGGUGGGGUAACGGCUCACCAAGGCGACGAUCCGUAGCUGGUCUGAGAGGAUGAUCAGCCACACUGGAACUGAGACACGGUCCAGACUCCUACGGGAGGCAGCAGUGGGGAAUAUUGGACAAUGGGCGAAAGCCUGAUCCAGCCAUGCCGCGUGUGUGAAGAAGGUCUUCGGAUUGUAAAGCGCUUUAAGUUGGGAGGAAGGGUUGUAAGCUAAUAUCUUGCAGCUUUGACGUUACCAACAGAAUAAGCACCGGCUAACUCUGUGCCAGCAGCCGCGGUAAUACAGAGGGUGCAAGCGUUAAUCGGAAUUACUGGGCGUAAAGCGCGCGUAGGCGGCUUAGUAAGUUGGAUGUGAAAGCCCCGGGCUCAACCUGGGAACUGCAUCCAAAACUGCUUGGCUAGAGUACAGUAGAGGUGGUGGAAUUUCCUGUGUAGCGGUGAAAUGCGUAGAUAUAGGAAGGAACACCAGUGGCGAA